rnacentral:rRNA from 1 species
ACAUGCAGAGAACUUUCCAGAGAUGGAUUGGUGCCUUCGGGAACUCUGACACAGGUGCUGCAUGGCUGUCGUCAGCUCGUGUCGUGAGAUGUUGGGUUAAGUCCGUAACGAGCGCAACCCUUGUCCUUAGUUACCAGCACGUUAUGGUGGGCACUCUAAGGAGACUGCCGGUGACAAACCGGAGGAAGGUGGGGAUGACGUCAAGUCAUCGUGGCCCUUACGGCCUGGGCUACACACGUGCUACAAUGGUCGGUACAAAGGGUUGCCAAGCCGCGAGGUGGAGCUAAUCCCAUAAAACCGAUCGUAGUCCGGAUCGCAGUCUGCAACUCGACUGCGUGAAGUCGGAAUCGCUAGUAAUCGUGAAUCAGAAUGUCACGGUGAAUACGUUCCCGGGCCUU